GACGAACGCUGGCGGCGUGCCUAACACAUGCAAGUCGAGCGGGGACAAGGACUUCGGUUCUUGUUCUAGCGGCGGACGGGUGAGUAACGCGUGAGCAAUCUGUCCCUCACAGGGGGAUAACACUUGGAAACAGGUGCUAAUACCGCAUAAGACCACGGAGUCGCAUGGCUUUGGGGUCAAAGGAGUAAUCCGGUGAGGGGUGAGCUCGCGUCCCAUUAGAUAGUUGGCGGGGUAACGGCCCACCAAGUCAGCGAUGGGUAGCCGACCUGAGAGGGUGAUCGGCCACACUGGGACUGAGACACGGCCCAGACUCCUACGGGAGGCAGCAGUGGGAAAUAUUGGGCAAUGGGCGAAAGCCUGACCCAGCAACGCCGCGUGAGGGAGGAAGGUUUUCGGAUUGUAAA
rnacentral:rRNA from 1 species